GUUAGGAAUCUUCCACAAUGGGGGCAACCCUGAUGGAGCAACACCGCGUGCUGGAUGAAGGCCUUCGGGUCGUAAACAGCUUUUGUAUACGAAGAAUAUGACGGUAAUAUACGAAUAAGGGUCGGCUAACUACGUGCCAGCAGCCGCGGUCAUACGUAGGACCCAAGCGUUAUCCGGAGUGACUGGGCGUAAAGAGUUGCGUAGGCGGCUUAUUAAGCGAGUAGUGAAAUCUGGUGGCUCAACCAUCAACACAUUGCUCGAACUGAUAGGCUUGAGAAUGGUAGAGGUAGUUGGAAUUUCUUGUGUAGGAGUGAAAUCCGUAGAUAUAAGAAGGAACACCAAUGGCGUAGGCAGACUACUGGACCAUUUCUGACGCUGAGGCACGAAAGCGUGGGGAGCGAACCGGAUUAGAUACCCGAGUAGUCC
rnacentral:rRNA from 1 species